rnacentral:tRNA from 1 species
UCCCUGAUAGCUGAGACAUUAAAGAAUCUGCCUGCAGUGCAGGAGACCUGGGUUUGAUUCCUGGGUUGGGAA